rnacentral:ribozyme from 1 species
UUCACGAAACGACAGUAAGAAACAAAAACCAAAAGAAAAAGAAAAAAAAAAAAAAAAA